rnacentral:lncRNA from 1 species
AAAAUUCCUUCUCCUUAUUGCUUUUUAAGCAAGGUCAGGUCAGAAGUGCUUACUUCCUACUGAGCAGAUGAAGUGGAACCCUGGGGACGCUGAUGCCUUCUGCCUUCCCCAGCUAACCGCAACCAAGAGACAAGAGCUGACCUUAUCCAUAGGUCAAACCUAGACGGUUUGCUAUUUUGUAUAGGAAAUGUCAGCUGAUCCUUCCGGCCUCUACAGUGAUAACCUGCUGCUGUUUCAAUCACCCGUAGAGGAAGAGCUAUUAGCAACACUCCUGGAAGCAGACUACCAGAGGGAACAUUGCAUGCCCCUCCUACAAGCUGUGGAGAGUUCUGAAGAACCAUGAGAAAUAGGUGCUGGUGGUUUUUUGGGUGGGGAAACCUGGCAGGUCCAGUCCUAAGUCACUGAGAUCACAUGGCGACAACAUCG